rnacentral:ncRNA from 2 species
CUACAACUUCGGGGCAGGGUGAAAUUCCCUACCGGCGGUGAUAAGGCGAUAGCCUUUCAGUCCGUGACCCGGGUCGAAUGUUUUCGAUUCGGUGGAUCUGGUGAAACUCCAGAGCCGACAGUUAAAGUCUGGAUGGGAGAAGUGAGGA